rnacentral:rRNA from 1 species
GACGAACGCUGGCGGCGUGCCUAAUACAUGCAAGUUGAGCGCUGAAGGUUGGUACUUGUACCGACUGGAUGAGCAGCGAACGGGUGAGUAACGCGUGGGGAAUCUGCCUUUGAGCGGGGGACAACAUUUGGAAACGAAUGCUAAUACCGCAUAAAAACUUUAAACACAAGUUUUAAGUUUGAAAGAUGCAAUUGCAUCACUCAAAGAUGAUCCCGCGUUGUAUUAGCUAGUUGGUGAGGUAAAGGCUCACCAAGGCGAUGAUACAUAGCCGACCUGAGAGGGUGAUCGGCCACAUUGGGACUGAGACACGGCCCAAACUCCUACGGGAGGCAGCAGUAGGGAAUCUUCGGCAUUGGACGAAAGUCUGACCGAGCAACGCCGCGUGAGUGAAGAAGGUUUUCGGAUCGUAAAACUCUGUUGGUAGAGAAGAACGUUGGUGAGAGUGGAAAGCUCAUCAAGUGACGGUAACUACCCAGAAAGGGACGGCUAACUACGUG